rnacentral:rRNA from 1 species
GUUUGAUCCUGGCUCAGAUUGAACGCUGGCGGCAGGCCUAACACAUGCAAGUCGAGCGGUAGAGAGGUGCUUGCACCUCUUGAGAGCGGCGGACGGGUGAGUAAUGCCUAGGAAUCUGCCUGGUAGUGGGGGAUAACGUUCGGAAACGGACGCUAAUACCGCAUACGUCCUACGGGAGAAAGCAGGGGACCUUCGGGCCUUGCGCUAUCAGAUGAGCCUAGGUCGGAUUAGCUAGUUGGUGGGGUAAUGGCUCACCAAGGCGACGAUCCGUAACUGGUCUGAGAGGAUGAUCAGUCACACUGGAACUGAGACACGGUCCAGACUCCUACGGGAGGCAGCAGUGGGGAAUAUUGGACAAUGGGCGAAAGCCUGAUCCAGCCAUGCCGCGUGUGUGAAGAAGGUCUUCGGAUUGUAAAGCACUUUAAGUUGGGAGGAAGGGCAUUAACCUAAUACGUUAGUGUUUUGACGUUACCGACAGAAUAAGCACCGGCUAACUCUGUGCCAGCAGCCGCGGUAAU